GAACGCUGGCGGCAGGCCUAACACAUGCAAGUCGAGCGGUAGAGAGGUGCUUGCAUCUCUUGAGAGCGGCGGACGGGUGAGUAAUGCCUAGGAAUCUGCCUGGUGGUGGGGGAUAACGUUCGGAAACGGACGCUAAUACCGCAUACGUCCUACGGGAGAAAGCGGGGGAUCUUCGGACCUCGCGCCAUUAGAUGAGCCUAGGUCGGAUUAGCUAGUUGGUGAGGUAAUGGCUCACCAAGGCGACGAUCCGUAACUGGUCUGAGAGGAUGAUCAGUCACACUGGAACUGAGACACGGUCCAGACUCCUACGGGAGGCAGCAGUGGGGAAUUUUGGACAAUGGACGCAAGUCUGAUCCAGCCAUUCCGCGUGCAGGAUGAAGGCCCUCGGGUUGUAAACUGCUUUUGUACGGAACGAAAAGGUUUCUCUUAAUACGAGGAGCUCAUGACGGUACCGUAAGAAUAAGCACCGGCUAACUACGUG
rnacentral:rRNA from 1 species